CACGUGGAAGCCAAGUGGGAAAAGACAUCAAUGACUCUUCACGUGUUGUCUCGUGAUUCAAUGCAUCAUAUACAUUUUGAGAAAUUAACUUGAAAAGCGUGGUACGAUGACACUUACUUUAUGGAGAGACAGGCCCUUAUCAGGUCAGAUUGGGUCCCAUGAAUUAUUUCUGUCUGGCUGCUUCUUUGCUUCAGAUGCUGCAGCUGGGCUGAGGUGAGGCAGGGACACUGAAGCCGGUCUGGAAAAUUCAGGGAGAACAAGGCCUGUGCGCCCAUGCACCACCACGCUCCAACCUUUUAUACCUGGAAGAUGAUGCUUAUCAGUCACCAUCCAGAGGGAGCCUCAGACUGUUCUCAGUCCUCUGCUAAAGAGUAACUUCUGUCUGCAGAGUGGAACUGACAAAUGAGACAAAAUCCCUUUACUGUGGCAAAUGAACAGCAUGAGAGGGACACAAGCAUAGCACGGCACAAAACUAGGUCAUCUGAAUUCUAAGAUACAGCAUGCUGUCCGGGGCUCCAUCCUCUCCUUACACCUGCUCUUUGGGAUGGGUGCCAUCUAAGCGCAUCAUUCAGGAGCACAGCUAAGACUUCCGAAGCCCUUCAGGUCCAGUUCCAAGAAAGCCCAAGAGAAGGACAUUCCUUCUGCUAUGCACGGACGGCUCGGCUUCCAACGCCAGACUGACUGUCCUCUCCUCUGAGUCAUCGAGCCCCACCGCACCCCCACCCCAGGGAGCUCUUACCUCCCCUCAGCUCCAUGACCUAAGCCAAGAUGUUGCUAGAAGGCAAUUCAAUGUUCCAAUUUGAAAUAAGUCACACUUCAGGACAGAGAGAGAAAUAACAGAGCAGAGCAGCUCAAGCUCAAGAUGAUUCUUCAUUUUGAACUGCUUUCUGCAGCUGAGAAAUGAGAUCAAUGUUCUCUGCUGAUUUUCUUGAUUACCUGACAGCAAACUGUCGACAUUCCUGGUUCCAGCUCUGUGAAGUCUGGGAAGGUGGCCCUCUCUCUCACGUUUGUAUUUUGGACCCAGCACGUGUCACAGGGCACCUCAGUAAAUGCUCCUUGCACGGAGUCAGAGAGAGAAGGACAGUCCCCCCAAAAUGAGGUCACGGAGAAAAAAAAAAUACAAGGAAAUAACUUCCAAUGGCCAAGAAAUUCUUUGAGAAGAAGAACCAAGGGUUUUAUGCCAUUAAAACCCCUCCAUACACCCAGAUUUGUCCUUCUAAAGACCUUAGGUGUUUUUGAUCUUGACCCAAAUUAUACUCCUCAUUAGAUGGGGGGCGGGGGUCAGAGAAGAUGUCUUGAGAAUGCCACUGAGGUUAGGGGUGUGCCUCUAACGGUGUUGAGCACACAUCUCAUUUUCUUACCACUGAGAUUUCUGAGAAGCUAACAUCCCAAAGGGAGUUAAUUUGAGUUAAUGACAAUUACUUUGUCCAAAUAAACAAGAGCAUCCUUAAUUUUGCCCA
rnacentral:lncRNA from 1 species